rnacentral:rRNA from 1 species
CCUACGGGUGGCUGCAGUGGGGGAUAUUGCACAAUGGGGGGAACCCUGAUGCAGCGACGCCGCGUGGGGGAAGGCGGUCCUCUGGAUUGUAAACCACUGUCCCCAGGGACGAGGAUGACGGUACCUGGGGAGGAAGCUCCGGCUAACUACGUGCCAGCAGCCGCGGUAAUACGUAGGGAGCGAGCGUUGUCCGGAUUUACUGGGUGUAAAGGGAGCGUAGGCGGGACUGCAAGUAGGGUGGAAAAUCUACCGGCGCAACCGGUGGCCGCACUUGAAACUGCAGGUCUUGAGUGAGGUAGAGGCAGGCGGAAUUCCUGGUGUAGCGGUGAAAUGCGUAGAUAUCAGGAGGAACACCAGUGGCGAAGGCGGCCUGCUGGGCCUUGACUGACGCUGAGGCUCGAAAGUGUGGGGAGCGAACAGGAUUAGAUACCCGGGUAGUC